GUAGGAGCAAAGCUUGCUCGCGAUGCAGGCACCUCGGUUUUUCAGUUACACCGGGUUGAUGCCAUCGCGAGCAAGCUUUGCUCCUAC
rnacentral:antisense_RNA from 1 species